UACGGGGGGAGCAAGCGUUGUUCGGAUUUACUGGGCGUAAAGGGCGCGUAGGCGGUCAGCACAAGUCAGUUGUGAAAUCUCCAAGCUUAACUUGGAACGGUCAACUGAUACUGAUGUGCUAGAGUGCAGAAGGGGCAACCGGAAUUCUUGGUGUAGCGGUGAAAUGCGUAGAUAUCAAGAGGAACACCUGAGGUGAAGACGGGUUGCUGGGCUGACACUGACGCUGAGGCGCGAAAGCUAGGGUAGCAAACGGG
rnacentral:rRNA from 1 species